rnacentral:lncRNA from 1 species
UGUGCCAGCAAUCAGCUCUGACUAGCUAGGUCUAAAAGGACUAACUUUACUAAAAAUUAACCCAACUAGUUAGAUCUAAAAGAAAUUAAUUUUUAAUAUGUGACUAACGAUCAAUGUCAUUGACUAGACCUAUAUCACAAUCUAACUAAAGAAUUUUUUUUCACUAUUCUCAUAGCAUAAUCAUACUUGUUUUUAUCAUCAUC